GGCGUCUUCACCGUUUCAGGAAUAUUAGAUUCAUUCAUAUAUCAUGGUCAGAAGGUGAUCAAGAAGAAGAUGGAGCUUGGUAAGUUCAGCUGAAAAUUGACUUAUUUAUUUGAGUUGUUGACGCUACAGAAGCCUAGCAGCAAAUUCCAACUUUGAUGAUGAUGAAAUCAAGAGAAUCAAAAUGGUUAGUCCACUGUAUUAGAUUAUGGUUGAAGUUUGUUGCCAUGAUUUUACUCAGUUGGGAAGGAGCUGAGCUCCCAGCUCAGUUUCAUUUUUAAAAACCAUUUGUUUACCAUUUCACGUGUCUUUUAACUGUUGUCGUAAAUGUGAAUAUCCACAUGAGAGGUAAAAACAGAAUUCUCAUUAUCUGUUAGAUCUC
rnacentral:misc_RNA from 1 species